rnacentral:rRNA from 1 species
GAUGAACGCUGGCGGCGUGCCUAAUACAUGCAAGUCGAGCGAACAGACGAGGAGCUUGCUCCUCUGACGUUAGCGGCGGACGGGUGAGUAACACGUGGAUAACCUACCUAUAAGACUGGGAUAACAUCGGGAAACCGGAGCUAAUACCGGAUAAUAUAUUGAACCGCAUGGUUCAAUAGUGAAAGACGGUUUUGCUGUCACUUAUAGAUGGAUCCGCGCCGCAUUAGCUAGUUGGUAAGGUAACGGCUUACCAAGGCAACGAUGCGUAGCCGACCUGAGAGGGUGAUCGGCCACACUGGAACUGAGACACGGUCCAGACUCCUACGGGAGGCAGCAGUAGGGAAUCUUCCGCAAAGGGCGAAAGCCUGACGGAGCAACGCCGCGUGAGUGAUGAAGGUCUUCGGAUCGUAAAACUCUGUUAUUAGGGAAGAACAAAUGUGUAAGUAACUAUGCACGUCUUGACGGUACCUAAUCAGAAAGCCACGGCUAACUACGUG